rnacentral:rRNA from 1 species
UACGUAGGGUGCAAGCGUUGUCCGGAAUUAUUGGGCGUAAAGAGCUCGUAGGCGGUCUGUCGCGUCGGAUGUGAAAAUCCAGGGCUCAACCCUGGACCUGCAUUCGAUACGGGCAGACUAGAGUUCGGCAGGGGAGACUGGAAUUCCCGGUGUAGCGGUGAAAUGUGUAGAGAUCGGGAGGAACACCGGUGGCGAAGGCGGGUCUCUGGGCAAUUCCUGACGCUGAGGCGCGAAAGCGUGGGGAGCAAACGGG